rnacentral:rRNA from 1 species
UCACUUUCAACAACGGAUCUCUUGGCUCUCGCAUCGAUGAAGAACGUAGCGAAGUGCGAUAAGUAGUGUGAAUUGCAGAAUUCCGUGAAUCAUCGAAUUUUUGAACGCAAAUUGCACUCCCUGGUAUUCCGGGGAGUAUGCCUGUUUGAGGGUCAGUC